AGUGAACGCUGGCGGCGUGCCUAAUACAUGCAAGUCGAACGGACGAGUAAGAGCUUGCCCUUAUGAGUUAGUGGCGCACGGGUGAGUAAUGUAUAGUUAAUCUGCCCUACACUGGAGGACAACAGUUAGAAAUGACUGCUAAUACUCCAUACUCCUUCUUAACACAAGUUAAGUCGGGAAAGUUUUUUCGGUGUAGGAUGAGACUGUAUUGUAUCAGCUAGUUGGUGAGGUAAUGGCUCACCAAGGCUAUGACGCAUAACUGGUCUGAGAGGAUGAUCAGUCACACUGGAACUGAGACACGGUCCAGACUCCUACGGGAGGCAGCAGUAGGGAAUAUUGCUCAAUGGGGGAAACCCUGAAGCAGCAACGCCGCGUGGAGGAUGACACUUUUCGGAGCGUAAACUCCUUUUGUUAGGGAAGAACAAUGACGGUACCUAACGAAUAAGCACCGGCUAACUCCGUGCCAGCCGCCGCGGUAACAC
rnacentral:rRNA from 1 species